AUGCCAGGACUUAGCAACUGGGAGUAUAUCAGGGGCGGGGGGAGAAGAGUGAAAAAUUCACCCUCACUCUCAAGCCCGUGCAGUCAAGGCUCUGGGGAUGGGGAGAGUGAGAUCGAUUUGGGGAGGGAGUACAAAGUGUCAGGUUUGAGUGGUGUUGAGUGUAAAGAGAUGGGGCCCUGGGGGACAGAUGCCAAGAGAAGGGGUGGGGUGGGCCGUGCCAGGGUGGGAGCUGAGCUGGGACAGCGCCAGGGAUGCACUGGCGUCAGAAACCCGGACCGCCCAUGUACUCGGGGCACGAUUGCUGUGUGUCAGGUGUCGUGCAAGGCUCUGGCGCUGGGCGAGGUCCACAUAAAGAGGAGAGGCUCCAGGAGAGGCUGGGGCCUGAGCUUUGGGUGGGGGGACCCGCAAGGUGCCGGAGACAAGGAGCAGAAGGAAGGAGGAAGAAUUGAUCUGGCCAGCGUGCUGGGAAGGGCGUGGUGGUCCCAGCAAACACCCGCCCUCUCCCCGAUGCUCACGCGCUUCAGCCUUCACACCCUGGGAGGUAGUGAUGCGUCCCCGACCUGCACCCCGCCACCUGUCCCGACCCCCAGGCAGCCCACGGCCCUUGGCCCACGCCCUUUAUCAGAGUGCCCCCAGCCUUCGCCCCUUGGCUGGGUGCUGCCAGGUGUUCCUGUGAGCUCACAGGGGAGCGGGUGCCCAGUCCUCCCCGUGGGUGAUUUCCUCUUCCUCCCCAAGGAGCCGAUGCCUCUGUACACCUGCCCUGCAGAGACUUCGUGGGUCCUCACCCACUCGUGGCGCCCCCGCCCUGUCUGCCAGCCGUGGCCGCCGCCCGUCUGUGCCCGGGCUUGUUUGUGUUUAUUUGGUUUCCUAAAAAAUAUAUAUAUAUAUUUGGUUUCCUUGUCCUACCCAGCCCACACACGCAGACUCCCGAGGCCGCUGCCCGCCCAGACCCUGGUCCCGAGUCUGCCCUCCUCUCCCCACCUGCUAGGACCUGCCGCCUGGCCCGGCCGUGCUGCUUGCUCCUGCACGGUCUCCACUGCGGGCUUUCUACUGUCCCCAAAUCGUGGGCAAUGCUGCGUGGGUUGGCCUUGCUGGUGUCUUCCCUCCUGA
rnacentral:lncRNA from 12 species